UGGUGGAGUGAUUUGUCUGGUUAAUUCCGAUAACGAGCGAGACCUCAGCCUACUAACUAGCUAUGGGAAUCUUCGGAUUCCUUAUCCCAAUAGCUUCUUAGAGGGACUAUCGGUGUGUAGCCGAUGGAAGACUGAGGCAAUAACA
rnacentral:rRNA from 1 species